CAGACCUAACGGCAGCAUGUCCAUCCUCUCUUCCAUCUGAGCGCAGCUGCCAACAGCACCGCAGCCUGAGGACAAUGGCCAGCUACCCAGUGAAGCAGCAGUAACCGGGAGUGACAGCCAAUGGAGAGCAGAGAGGCAGAGACAUCAGAUGGCAAAGCUCUGGAUAAUGUUUACUGGACCAUGAACCACAACAUCUCUGAUCUCCUCCUCUUCACCUCUCCUCACUUUGGCAGACAGAGGACACACCUAAGAAUAUGUGUUCUGUGCGAUAUGGAAGAACAUAACUAAAUCAGCCAGAAAGAAAAAAGGAGAUUCUGACAGGCUGCAUAGUGAAGGAAAUGUCUAAUCACAUUCUGAACAAAAUACCAGUCCAACCUCUUGAAAUAAUGUAAAAGUAAAGUAAUGAUAUUUAUUGCACUUUCCUUAUAAAGAUAUGUAAUGUAA